rnacentral:rRNA from 1 species
GAGGAGCUUGCUCCUCUGACGUUAGCGGCGGACGGGUGAGUAACACGUGGAUAACCUACCUAUAAGACUGGGAUAACUUCGGGAAACCGGAGCUAAUACCGGAUAACAUGUUGAACCGCAUGGUUCAACAGUGAAAGACGGUCUUGCUGUCACUUAUAGAUGGAUCCGCGCCGCAUUAGCUAGUUGGUAAGGUAACGGCUUACCAAGGCAACGAUGCGUAGCCGACCUGAGAGGGUGAUCGGCCACACUGGAACUGAGACACGGUCCAGACUCCUACGGGAGGCAGCAGUAGGGAAUCUUCCGCAAUGGGCGAAAGCCUGACGGAGCAACGCCGCGUGAGUGAAGAAGGUCUUCGGAUCGUAAAACUCUGUUAUUAGGGAAGAACAAAUGUGUAAGUAACUAUGCACGUCUUGACGGUACCUAAUCAGAAAGCCACGGCUAACUACGUGCCAGCAGCCGCGGUAAUACGUAGGUGGCAAGCGUUAUCCGGAAUUAUUGGGCGUAAAGCGCGCGUAGGCGGUUUUUUAAGUCUGAUGUGAAAGCCCACGGCUCAACCGUGGAGGGUCAUUGGAAACUGGAAAACUUGAGUGCAGAAGAAGAAAGUGGAAUUCCAUGUGUAGCGGUGAAAUGCGCAGAGAUAUGGAGGAACACCAGUGGCGAAGGCGACUUUCUGGUCUGUAACUGACGCUGAUGUGCGAAAGCGUGGGGAUCAAACAGGAUUAGAUACCCUGGUAGUCCACGCCGUAAACGAUGA